UGGGGAAUAUUGGACAAUGGGCGAAAGCCUGAUCCAGCCAUGCCGCGUGUGUGAAGAAGGUCUUCGGAUUGUAAAGCACUUUAAGUUGGGAGGAAGGGCAUUAACCUAAUACGUUAGUGUUUUGACGUUACCGACAGAAUAAGCACCGGCUAACUCUGUGCCAGCAGCCGCGGUAAUACAGAGGGUGCAAGCGUUAAUCGGAAUUACUGGGCGUAAAGCGCGCGUAGGUGGGUUGUUAAGUUGGAUGGGAAAGCCCCGGGCUCAACCUGGGAACUGCAUCCAAAACUGGCAAGCUAGAGUACGGUAGAGGGUGGUGGAAUUUCCUGUGUAGCGGUGAAAUGCGUAGAUAUAGGAAGGAACACCAGUGGCGAAGGCGACCACCUGGACUGAUACUGACACUGAGGUGCGAAAGCGUGGGGAGCAAACA
rnacentral:rRNA from 1 species